rnacentral:rRNA from 1 species
UUCCUACGGGACGCAGCAGUGGGGAAUAUUGGGCAUGGGCGCAAGCCUGACCCAGCAACGCCGCGCGAAGGAAGAAGGCUUUCGGGUUGUAAACUUCUUUUGACAGGGAAGAGUAGAAGACGGUACCUGUCGAAUAAGCCACGGCUAACUACGUGCCAGCAGCCGCGGUAAUACGUAGGGAGCGGGCGUUAUCCGGAUUUACUGGGUGUAAAGGGCGUGUAGGCGGGAUGGCAAGUCAGGCGUGAAAACUAUGGGCUCAACCCAUAGCCUGCGUUUGAAACUGUCGUUCUUGAGUGAUGGAGAGG